AUUGAACGCUGGCGGCAUGCUUUACACAUGCGAGUCGAACGGAUUUUGGAGCUUGCUCCAGAGUUAGUGGCGAACGGGUGAGUAAUAUAUCGGAACGUACCCGGCAAUGGGGGAUAACGUAGCGAAAGUUACGCUAAUACCGCAUAUGCCCUGAGGGGGAAAGAAGGGGACCAGCAAUGGCCUUGCGUUGUCGGAGCGGCCGAUAUCGGAUUAGCUAGGUGGUGAGGUAAAGGCUCACCAAGGCGCCGAUCCGUAGCGGGUCUGGGAGGAUGAUCCGCCACACUGGGACUGAGACACGGCCCAGACUCCUACGGGAGGCAGCAGUGGGGAAUUUUGGACAAUGGGGGCAACCCUGAUCCAGCCAUGCCGCGUGAGUGAAGAAGGCCUUCGGGUUGUAAAGCUCUUUCAGGUGGAAAGAAAAGGUUGCGGAUAAUACCUGCAACUGAUGACGGUACCAUCAGAAGAAGCACCGGCUAACUACGUGCCAGCCGCCGCGGUAAUAC
rnacentral:rRNA from 1 species